GGGGCUGACCUGGUUUCGACAGGGUAUAGGUGCCUGAAUUGCGAGUCGUGUGUUAUGUAUCACACGUAAAUCCAUGCAUAAAACAAAUAAUCGCUAACGACGAAAACUUCGCUGUCGCCGCCUAAUAAGCGGUAGACAGCCUCCCCACUCAGGGCUGCUCAGGGCCUAGAGAAUAUGGGGAGUCAAGAUUCCUGAGAUCGCGUGGCGGCUUCUGUCAGUAGCCAAGACGUUAAACGUAACCUGACUCGCCAGAGGAAUGAUUUGCCCAUCAAUCAUCUUCCUGGCUAAAAAAAUGAUGAGGCUAUGCUCGUAGAUGUUCAACGCACUGGUGUUCUGGACGCGGGUUCGAUUCCCGCCAGCUCCACCA
rnacentral:tmRNA from 1 species